AUGGCGCCGGGAGAAAGGUCCCUUUGAGAGGACGAUGCAGGAAAAACAGGUCCAAGAAUGACAGAUGCAAAACAACGUCAAGAUGCAAAACAGCAAAACAAGAGUCUCAACAACUGCACCUGGUAGAAGUAAGGAUGAAAGUGAACGCAACACUCAACACAUCAGAGGAUGAUCCUGAGCCCAAACAAAUCCUGGCCCUGAAGCACAUCAUCAUUUCAGUCAUGUGGAUGACAAAGGCAGAGGUGAGGGCUGCCCAGUUCUCCGUUGGAUUCAGCGAGGCCAGAACAGAGUGUACAUUCCUGUGGCGGCACUCCCGCAGGUCCUGGAGUGGGGUUGAUCAAGUUCAUUAAAAGGUGAUGUUCAAGCCACAACUGGGGACAAGCUUUGAUCCGGGCUGAGGAUGGUUUGCCUUUUGGAAAUCUUCCUUUUCAAGUGGAAAGUCACAAGAGUGCUACUUCAUGAGCAGUGUGAUCAGAAAGACCUUGUUUCCCCUGCAUCUGCCCUCAUCUACACUUGUCCAUCCUGUG